rnacentral:tmRNA from 1 species
ACUCUUCAAAAGCGCGGCGAUAGCGUCUAUAUGGGUGUUGCCGUCUUCGGACGGCUAUGGCGAUAAAUGAUGCCGUGAAAUAGGUACAGCGGACCCGGGGGCGGUACCCGGCGGCUCCACCAAUUCACCGGGCAGGCAUAACCAGCCUGUCCGGACAUGGGGCCGAACUAGGAUCGACGUGUGCUGAAAGACGGUUUUCUUUGCCCGGCCUGAAUGCGCCGCAAAACCGUUCAAAACCUACAAAUGCCAACGAUAACGAGGCAUUCGCGAUCGCUGCGUAACUGAAGCCCUUCGGGGAACAGGUUACAAGGCUUAGCGCGGUUCGGGCCGCACCGGGCAACAGAAGCGGACACC